rnacentral:sRNA from 1 species
CUCGCAGUAGAGCAGUGCAGGAUGAGAACCUCUGGUUCGAGCCGAGCGAAGCGAGACGACAACGCGAACGCGUUGCCCGCAGGGUGAGGCCGAAGGCCAAAUCAAUCCAGCACGGCCCACCA